rnacentral:rRNA from 1 species
UACAGAGGGUGCGAGCGUUAAUCGGAAUUACUGGGCGUAAAGCGCGCGUAGACGGUUUUGUAAGUCAGAUGUGAAAUCCCUGGGCUCAACCUGGGAACUGCAUUUGAGACUGCAUGGCUAGAGUAUCGAAGAGGGAAGCGGAAUUUCCGGUGUAGCAGUGAAAUACGUAGAUAUCGGAAGGAACAUCAGUGGCGAAAGCGGCUUCCUGGUUCAGCACCGACGUUCAGGCACGAAAGCGUGGGGAGCAAACAGG